ACGGGGGAGCGAGCGAGCAAUCGCGAUCUCUCCCAUUGUACAUUUACGCUUGUAUUGUUUGACUGUAUCAAUGAAAUCUAUAAUUAAAGACAACUUUUAACAAUGGAUCUCUUGGCUCUUGCAACGAUGAAGAACGCAGUAAAGUGCGAUAUCUAGUGCGAUUUGCAUGAAUCUGUGAGUCAUCGAGUCUUUGAACGCAACUUGCGCCACUUGGGCAACCAAGUGGCAUGUCUGUUUGAGUAUCACAAACCUCUUUAUUCCAAGUUUUGGAAUAGAUUUGAAGGCUUUGGAUUUUCUAUCCAAUCCUUUGAAAUAAAGUUUGUUGGUGAUUGAUUUGGUCACUAUCAUGUGCUAAAGGCUUUAUGUCUUGUCAUGCUAAUGAUCAUAGUCAACCCAUUGCAAAGCUAAUCACUUUGCAAAACUACCUUUCAUGGUCUCAAAUCAGGCAAGACUACCCGCUGAACUUAA
rnacentral:rRNA from 1 species